rnacentral:tRNA from 1 species
CGAGACGUAGCUUUAACAAAAGCAUUCAGCUUACGCCUGAAAGAUGUCCGACCACCCCGGACCGUCUCGA